AGGAAAGUGUGUUUUCCCAUCACCCUUCAGUUGUCCAACCGUUCUGGAUGAAUGGGAUUCCUCACCAAUAUAUGAAAGAAGAUCCACAUCGAUGUGGGAGAUGACUUUGAAAACGAUGCCCUAUGAAAUGUAGAUUAUCAGCCAGAGGUUUGGGAUGGAGAAGUAGCACAGACAUGUCUGCUGGCCAAGUGCACCAUGGGAUUUCUGCAGGGGGGGAAGCAGAAAAUAGCAAAAAAAAAA